GCCCGGAUGGCGGAAUUGGCAGACGCGCUAGAUUCAGGGUCUAGUGCUUGUAAAAGCGUGCAGGUUCAAAUCCUGUUCCGGGCA
rnacentral:tRNA from 1 species